AAGACCUUGCGCUUUUGGAGCGGCCGAUGCCUGAUUAGCUUGUUGGUAAGGUAAAAGCUUACCAAGGCUUCGAUCAGUAGCUGGUCUGAGAGGACGACCAGCCACACUGGGACUGAGACACGGCCCAGACUCCUACGGGAGGCAGCAGUGGGGAAUUUUGGACAAUGGGGGCAACCCUGAUCCAGCCAUGCCGCGUGAGUGAAGAAGGCCUUCGGGUUGUAAAGCUCUUUCAGCCGGAACGAAACGGUUACGGUUAAUACCCGUGACUACUGACGGUACCGGAAGAAGAAGCAUCGGCUAACUACGUGCCAGCAGCCGCGGUAAUACGUAGGGUGCGAGCGUUAAUCGGAAUUACUGGGCGUAAAGCGUGCGCAGGUGGUUUUGUAAGUCAGAUGUGAAAGCCCCGGGCUCAACCUGGGAACU
rnacentral:rRNA from 1 species